GUUUUCUUUUCUCGUGUCAUGUCCCAAUCCUACCACUCACUUACAUUUGUCUUCCUUUACUGUGGCUCGAGUCCCUAUCUGUUAUUUCUGAGAUUUGGAAGCCUUCUUCUCCGGAAGUCUUGAGAAGUCUCAGUCCUCCGCAGACUGCUAUUACUCUUGCUCAUUUUAAGCCCUUCUCUCUAGUUUUCCUUUUUACUCCACAGAAGGAAACAUGUUGACACAGAUAAAAACCCAGCUGUGUGGCCUUGGAUAUUGCUUUAAAUGCUCUGUACUCUUGUUUCCUCAUCUAUAGAAUGAGGAGAACAACAGAACUUAUCUCAUAGGGUUGUCAUGAGGAUUAACAGAGUUCGAAUAGUAUCCAACACACAAUUCAGCACAGUGAAAGUGUUUGCUGAAUAAAAAUAAAAGGAAAUGAACCUUUUAUUCAAAGUGGAGCUUUGAUGAGAGAUUUAACGGCAGGUUGCAAGAUAAUAAACUCUCUUUGCCUGGAUCAUCUCUUUCUGUCUUUUAAUGCUCCAUCCCAGAAGUGGGAAGAUGAUGAGAGUCCAAACAGGAGUCUGAAUCUGAGGGAAAAGUUGUCGAGAAAGUUUAGUUUGAGCAAGGAAUAUAGGCUGAGGGAUAAAAAGGCUCCACAUGACUCUAAAACAGCUCCAUUUCAUUCAUGAGGCCUGGGGGUUCCUCUUGCGUAUUUGGAUGAGUUCUGUGCUAAAAUAGUUUUUGAAGUAUGCCCGGGGUCUGUCUCUCAGGAGCUCUCUCAAUCCUUGUUAAAAGAGACUUUUAAUAUCUUCCUUGUGCCCGGCAAAAGAUCAACUAUAGAGGUUGUGAUUUUGUUUUGUUUUUUGUUCUUAAUUUUCUUUACAGAAUUCUUCCAAUAUCCUCUGAGAUGGACUGAAGUUCUCCAGGGGACUUUGCAAACAUUAGGAAGGGAAGUGCAUUGGAGCUCAGCAUGGAAUAAUCCUUUUGCUACAUCAGACAGUCUGAUUGAAGUUCACUACAUCCUCAUCUCCCAGUUGGUUUUUCCUCAUAUAACCCAUCAUAGAAUAUUCACCACCAGUCACGAAAGGCCGUUUUCUAAAUCAAGGUCUAAGUAUUUCUGUUCCACCUUGUUAUCAAUGCUGUGAGAUUAGGUCCUUAAAUCUAAUCUGCAUCCCUUCUUCCCUGAUAAAAGGAUUCUAAUCAGGACCUAUCUGUGGAGUCCUCACUCACUCUAUUCCCAAAAGAACAUCUGGAAAAAUCUAGAUUAAGAAAAAGGAGGACCUAGUAAAGUGACAUGGGCUGGAUAGAUUUUUUUCCCCCUUCCUACUUUAUUUCUCCAGCAUUUAUUAUUAUUUUUUUUCCCAUGAAAAGACAAAACCUAGUCAGUACUCUAUCAAAAUUUUCUUCUUUUUUCAGAUAAAACUCCUGAAAGGUGUCUGAUGCUCUCAACCAGGUGGGGCAAUUGCAAGGUAUUUCUCUUUUCUUUGGGAAACUCCGAUAGGGAUACUCAUUUUAUUACUAUUCAUCACUUUAGUUGACCUCUUAAAGAAGACAAUUGACAAAAGCAAUCGGACUUGACCUUGUGCAGUUUUCCAGAGCAAAAAUUACUUUUUCUUCCUCUAUGAAUGAGCACAUUGUGUGAAGAGAGGAUGAAAAAAAAUCCCUUAACUUUGAAAAGGCAACUUGCCUAGUGUUUUACUUUAACCGUGGGAAAAACUGUCAAACCCCUCUCUUCCUCUCCUAGUGAUGUGGUCCUCACUCCCUCCCCACCUGGCAUUCCCAACUCCAUGACACUGGGCAGAGGUGUGUUUUUUUGGGAGGGGGAUUUUGUAGUUUUCAGAACAUCCUCACUGGUGCUCAAGCACCAUGGACAGAUGCCAGAUAGCUAGCUUUCCAGAACCACCUAAAUCAAAAUGCAGAUUCCCCCCCCCCUUUUUUUUUUAAGUAAAAAAAAAGAAAAGAAGCCUUUUCUAAUGAUUUACUACCUUGGUAAACUGUGGACAGGAUAGAGAGGAAAAAAUAGCACUUAUUCACCACUUCGUGUUUCUUCAACUACACAAAUAAGGUUUAUUUGCCC
ensembl:lincRNA